rnacentral:tRNA from 1 species
AGUUAAGAAGCUUAAGAAAGCAGGAACUUUGAAAGUUCCAGAAAGAGGUUUAAUUCCUCUAUUAACUU